rnacentral:rRNA from 1 species
AGCCAGACUCCUACGGGAGGCAGCAGUGGGGGAUAUUGGACAAUGGGGGAAACCCUGAUCUAGCGACGCCGCGUGAGUGAAGAAGUAUUUCGGUAUGUAAAGCUCUAUCCGCAGGGAAGAAAGAAAUGACGGUACCUGAGUAAGAAGCCCCGGCUAACUACGUGCCAGCAGCCGCGGUAAUACGUAGGGGGCAAGCGUUAUCCGGAAUUACUGGGUGUAAAGGGAGCGUAGACGGUUAAGCAAGUCUGGAGUGAAAGGCGGGGGCUCAACCCCCGGACUGCUCUGGAAACUGUACGGCUGGAGUGCAGGAGAGGUAAGUGGAAUUCCUAGUGUAGCGGUGAAAUGCGUAGAUAUUAGGAGGAACACCAGUGGCGAAGGCGGCUUACUGGACUGUAACUGACGUUGAGGCUCGAAAGCGUGGGGAGCAAACAGGAUUAGAUACCCCUGUACUA